AAAUUGAAGAGUUUGAUCAUGGCUCAGAUUGAACGCUGGCGGCAGGCCUAACACAUGCAAGUCGAACGGUAGCACAGAGAGCUUGCUCUCGGGUGACGAGUGGCGGACGGGUGAGUAAUGUCUGGGAAACUGCCUGAUGGAGGGGGAUAACUACUGGAAACGGUGGCUAAUACCGCAUAACGUCGCAAGACCAAAGAGGGGGACCUUCGGGCCUCUUGCCAUCAGAUGUGCCCAGAUGGGAUUAGCUUGUUGGUGAGGUAACGGCUCACCAAGGCGACGAUCCCUAGCUGGUCUGAGAGGAUGACCAGCCACACUGGAACUGAGACACGGUCCAGACUCCUACGGGAGGCAGCAGUGGGGAAUAUUGCACAAUGGGCGCAAGCCUGAUGCAGCCAUGCCGCGUGUAUGAAGAAGGCCUUCGGGUUGUAAAGUACUUUCAGCGGGGAGGAAGGUGUUGCGGUUAAUAACCGCAGCAAUUGACGUUACCCGCAGAAGAAGCACCGGCUAACUCCGUGCCAGCAGCCGCGGUAAUACGGAGGGUGCAAGCG
rnacentral:rRNA from 1 species